rnacentral:rRNA from 1 species
UGCAUCGGGUAAGACCGGUAGCUUUUCUUGACUCUAAAUAGGUCUUGGAAUAAGGGGUGGGUAAGGACGGUGCCAGCCGCCGCGGUAAUACCGGCGCCUCAAGUGGUAGUCGCUUUUAUUGGGCCUAAAACGUCCGUAGCCGGUCUGAUACAUUCGUGGGUAAAUCAACCAGCUCAACUGGUUGAAUUCUGCGAGGACGGUCAGACUUGGGACCGGGAGAGGUGUGGGGUACGCUCAGGGUAGGGGUAAAAUCCUGUCAUCCUGAGCGGACCACCUGUUGCGAAGGCGCCACACUAGAACACGUCCGACGGUGAGGGAUGAAAGCUGGGGGAGCAAACCGGAUUAGAUACCCGGGUAGUCCCAGCUGUAAACUAUGCA